UAUACCAGCCAUUCAUUUUUCACCAGCCAAGGCCCCUAGACAAGCAGCAAAAUAUAGCGCCGUUUCACCCAUUCCUACGCACAGUUUGGUUCUGGUCAUCACCUAUCGCCUCCUCUAUUUUGGUUUGGUUGUAGCCACCACUGCUAUCCUGCGCUUUUGCUGGCGUCGACUACGCGCGACUUGCACAUGACGUGGCAGAUACAGACCCAGCCGUGGUUAGAACCGUUUAUGCUCGCAAUUAUGGAGUGCCAAGUUCCGCCUGUGUGAAGGAUGACUUUUGCGGUGUGGCAAGCAGCUGAAGAUGAUGAGAACAGCAUGUGUGCUUGGAGGAGGAAGGUGGCAUUGUGAUGAAGAAACUGUGAAGAUGGCACGAUGGAUGCAAGCUCUGGUCAGAUCAAGGUAGCACGAUAUGGCCUUGGGGUGGCCUGUUUCUAGUCUAAUUAUUACCAGCACAGCCAGUGUGGAGGAGUGAACGUCGAGAGCACUGUCUGAGUUUCCAGUUGGAGGAGCCGGAAGCCAGAACAAUGACUGAGAAGAAGCAGGCUCAUCUUUCAAGUUUUCGCAGGUUGGCGCCUGAGUUGGCAAGACAUUGCACAGUUACGAGCGGGAGGUCAUGCCGCAUCGUAAAGUACCUCCCCUGCGUGAAUGCACUGUUGAACAAAUUGAAUGCCGAAGUGAAGGAGGUCACGCCCGGCAGGCUCUUUCUGUGCCAGGCAAUGGGCAUUGGCAGCAGUGUGAAAGAUUUUGAGGAUGUGCCUGCAGAGGAAGGUGUUAUCUUCCUCUAUUGCCUGCUGCGGAACCACCACUGCAUAGAAGCUGUUGAGCUCAAGCCUCAUCUGAGACGCAAGUCGGCGCUGGUCAUCUGCGAUGCCCUGUGUUACAACCAGUCCCUGACCUGCCUACGGGUGCACCAUGCAUCCCUGAGCCACAAGGCCACAUUAUCUCUCUUCACCGCUGUGCAUGACUUGCUGAAAAUGCAGCUGCGUGAGCUGUCUCUGGAGAAACUGAAUAUUUCAUUUACGCCGGAGCCAUUGGAGGACCUCAUCUCGAAGCCACCAGAGGAGUUUGUGUCGGAGCCACCACAGAAGUUCAUGUUGGAGCAACCGCACGAGGUUGUGUUCGAGCCACCACAGGAAUUCGUGCCGGAGCCACCAGGGAGCUUCAUGUCAGAGCCACCAGACUACUACAUGUUGGAGCCACCCGAGGACAUCAUGCCGCAGGCACUAGAGAACUUCAAACAGGCACUUUCCAGUACGCAGACCCUCACAAAACUGACGCUCCUGAACGUCCGCGAACGUAUCCCUUGUGCAAGGACAAACGUUUUGACUGCAGCUCUGACUGGUCUACAGGCCAAUAUGAGUGUCACCAGCCUGAAAGUGGACACUAGUUACUGCGAUGGAAUGACGGCAAUGAGGAAUUUUCUUGACAGCACACGGACCCUAGCCGAGCUACACGUCUACUGCAGUUCCGAGUACGACUCUGCGUGCGCGGACUUGCUCUUCAAUGCACUGGAAACCAACAACUCUGUGAAGAGGCUCACCCUCCGCAAAUUUGCCAUGAAGGAUAUGUGGUCGUUCACGGAUCUCUUGGAUGUCAACAAAAACCUGGAGGAUGUGAGCUUCUAUGCCUGUCCCCGCAGUGAAAAGGAGAUCCAAGGUGACCUGAAGACGCUUGACACUUAUCAGUGUUCAAUGAACCUGCGUGGUACCAUGGAGCUUGCCGAACAAGGAUGUCAUAUUCUAGGAUUAAAGGGGCCCGAAGGUUGCAUGAACGCUGUGGUCAAGGCGCUCAAGAGGGGGACGUCGCUGCGCCGCUUGACCCUGGACUGGCCAUGCACACCCCACAUGGUUUAUUGUCUCCUGGCGGCGUCCAAGAACUCACCAUCAUUUACAGAGCUGCACUUGGGUGACGUCAUCGUCGACGAUGCAGAUUUCUUGCAUGGGGUGUUCAUCUACACUCGAGCAGACGUCGUCGUGACCGCAGCGAGGUGUAUGUCUAGCAAUGGCACCAUGAAUAAACUAAUUCCUCUAUGGGACCCUGGAGACACAGCGAGCUUUGUCGACUGCCUGUACAACGUCAACCUGAUGGACGUUGGCCGUGCGUUGUCCUCGGACGACGGGGACUAUGUGACCUCGCUCAGCCUCCAGGUCGGCGAGAAUUCCAGCUCGAAUGCAGUUCACGCACUGUCACUCUACCUGACCUCCACACCCAAGCUACGAGAGCUGCAGCUGCGGCUGGGCCCUAUACCACGAGACUUGCAGCUAGUGCUCCUCUCAGCCUUUCAAAAGAAUGUCAGCAUAGAGCGUCUCUCCAUUUUCGGGACUGAGGACCUUUGCAUCCCUGAGGAUAUACAGAACACGUUGUUCACCUGGAUGGCGAAUAGUAAGCGGCUCUACAGCAUCAAUGUGGAUAUGCACAAAUACGACACUACGCAUCUGCUGGGGGUACUUGCUGCAUCAGAGGGCCAAAACUACGUCCUCACAUCUCUGACCUUUAAGCAAUGUUGGGCGGAUGAGUCGGUCCUCGAGACCACCUACGAAAUGGUGCGUCGCAAUCGCGAGCUUCUGCGGUUUGCUGCCGCAUUCGUUCAUGGGGCAGCAGACAAGCGUGCACUACACGCCUACGAUUCCGUCUACUGGCACCCUCAGCUCCCAGAAGUUGUGCAGAGCAUGGGGUGCAGCGAUCGAGCUGUGGCCAAACAGAUGAUCCAUGAGGCUGCCAUGCCACGUCGAACAGAUUGACUUCCUGAAAUCACGCCGCACCAGUGUUGCUCUCGUGAAACCAGCUGCCAUUCAUGCUUCCAGGCCGUGGCAAGUUCAGCUGGCAGACCUCGGUAAAGAUACUCUGGACCGCAUCGCCUCCUUCCUGAAAGUGGAUGAUGUUGUGAGCGACGACGAGUCAGAAGACGGCAUGUCGCAAUAUCCCCCCACUGAGUAUGAGAGAGCUGCCUGUGGAGACCAGACACAUAAGAGGACAUUUGUUUUGUGAGAGGCAUCUUAUGCAGUGUACAAAAUAAAUCGCUAAAUUGUUGUAAA